UGGUAGAGUGCUUGCCUAUGAUAUGCAAGGACUCAGGUUGGAGCCCCAGUGCUGAAAGAAUCAGGAAAUUAAGUCAUGAAGUGGUGCCUGGGCAGAUAGAGGCCUUAGGAGGAAACUGCAUGUUUUGAGGGACAGAGCUGGGUCAGCAGAGUGUUUCCACACGAAUGAACUGACUUCUGCAUUGAGAACGUGAAUCAACAGAUCCCACAAGGUCAGUGUUCCCAGGCUCCCAAGUCCUUGAGGAAUUCUGGAAGGAAGCUGUUUAUAGUCGUUUUUCUAAGGAAGAAAUUGGAGAGUUGAGAUAUAUGCUUUCUCCUGCCAUCUUCAUGGCCUUCAUGGCCUGCUUCAGGACUCAGUGGGAAAUUCAAAAGGCCAGGAACUCUUGCCUAUGGAGUGAUACCACUCACGUUGGGCAGUAUCUAUUAACAAUCAAGACAAUCAAGACAAAUACCCCAUCGACAUGCUCAUAGCCCAAUCUGAUCUGGGCAGCCCUUCAGUUGAGACGUCCUAGGUAAAUUGCUUAUAUUUAUGUCUUUCAAGAACCUGCUUCCAGGGGAAUUCAAAGUAGGAUAUUGGAGCAGUCAACUCAGUUGCCCAGGACUACAUGGCUGGAAUAAAUUUAUAUCAGUUUCCCCAAGACAAAACCUCAUGGGAGAGGCAGUUGGUUUCUCUGGCCUUUCUACCCUUAAGAGGUCUUCAGCAAAGCCCUUGCCUUGUGGGAUUUCUGAGUUUAAUUCUGAGUUAAAACCCUUCAGUCUUGGGAUAGAGAGAUGGCUCAGUGGUUAAGAGCACUGGCUUCUCUUCCAGAGGGCCUGGGUUCAAUUUCCAGCACCCACAUGGUAGUUUACAGCUGUCUGUAGCUCCAAUUCCUAAGGAUUUGACACCCUCACACAGGCACCAAUGUGCAUAUAAAUAAAACAACAACAAAACCCUUUGGUCUCCAGAGAAGAAACUCAUGGAAAACAAAGCGGCCCAUUAGCAUUAGCAUUCAGAAAUGCAGAGAAGAGCAAAGUCAUGUCCAGGCAGUAGCAGGGCUGCCAACCACAAAAGGCACACCCAGCACUGCCCUCUGAGUGUUGGGUGCCACUUGCUACAAAUCCUGGUUUGGCUGCUGACUCGAUGGAGGUGUGAAGCCUUGGACGAGCCUGGUGUGAAGCCCUGGGUGAUCUUGUUACCCUUCUCUAUCAGUUACCUAAUCUUAAAGCCGAUGAAAUUACAGUGCCGGCUGCAUCUCUGCUGGGAAGCCGCUCUACGUUGGGGCCUUGUCAGAGCAUUGAUCUCCUCCCGGAAGUGAAGCAUGUCGGGAAACUGAGACUCAUAAAGGCCGGGCUUGCCUAGAUAUCUGAGGCCUUGAUCUGAGGCCUUGAGGUCCAGCUUGCCUCCCAUACCCUGGGUACUUCAUCCCUAAAUUGGUUUUACAGUUUGUGAGCUCCCAUUCUGCCACAGUGUCUGAAACUAAAUUAUGUACUAGCCAUUUCAGUAACUUUUCGAAGUAUGAAAACCUCAUAUGCUUGGGCAGAUAUGGUUACAGAAUUCUGAUAUGAGAAAGUUUUAUUCAGACUACGAUUGAAUCAAUGUGUUGUCAUGGAUGAGUUGGUUAUUCAAGAUCUAAUCAGUAGU
ensembl:lincRNA AU019990 expressed sequence AU019990